CAUUUCCAUAGAGAGAGCUGACUUUGCAUUAUCAGCACAUGCUUCAGUGCUCUGGGAGAGUUUAUAGUCCUGUGAGUUUAACACUUCAUGACUGAGAGCUGCUGCCCCACAAACUUCACCCACAGCAGACAUGACUUUGACCACCAUCUUCAUCUGGACUCUGAUCUUCUGGACUCAAGGAUCCAGAGGUCAGGCGACUGUGACUCAGACUCCUGCAGUGAAAUCUGCUCUUCCAGGAGAAACAGUCACCAUCAGCUGUAGAACCAGCACUGCAGUGUACAGUGACAGUCAUGGUCAGCGUUUAGCCUGGUACCUGCAGAAACCUGGAGAAGCUCCUAAACUCCUGAUUAAACUGAUUAGCAGUAGAGAGUCAGGAACUCCAGCUCGUUUCAGUGGCAGUGGAUCUGGAUCUGACUUCACUCUGACCAUCAGUGGAGUCCAGACUGAAGAUGAUGGAGAUUAUUACUGUCAAGGUGAAUUUUACAUCAGUAGUAUCUGGUCGUUCACACAGUGA